AACAGUGAAAAUAAAUGCACUUCUACUGGAAAAAAAAAAUCCAAAGUAAAUGUGGUUGAAAUUAUGUUCUAAUGAUCAUCACUGUUGGCUUGAAAUUUUAACAUCACUGUAUUACAAAUUUACAACAACAAGAACAACAAUCUCCUCUGCACAUGAUUUGAUAACUGUUUUUAUAGUAUAUCCAGCUAAAGUCGAAAAAUAUAUUUGUAUAUGAAGCUUUGAAAACUGCUUCAAUCAUUUUGUUAAUCAGGUAAGCUGCUAUUUUCUGCAAUUCAAACAAUAAAUAAGGACUUUGAAUAAACAUUAAUUACCAUCUAACAAUAAAUCUCGAAAGAUUUAUCCAUGCACUCUAACUCUCGACGUUGAUCUCUUCAAUCAGUUCUUCAUCAGUCUUCAAUUCUUAAUCUUCUGCUUCUCACUCAGCAGUCUCUGGCCACUUCCUGUGAAAAUACUGCAGACAAGAUGAAGAAAUGUUGGUCAAUAUUUGAUUACUAAAGUAAUUUUAAAUCCAACGUAACUCUUUGCAGAGAUUGUCAUGAGAUAAUUUCUUGUUUACAAAAGUUAAAAUCCAGUUAAAGUGUUAGACGUACAGGAAAGACAUUAACAACAUAGACCUAUGAAUAUUAGGUACUUACCAUCCCGAAAAAACACUACCAUUCGCGAGUUCGAUUUGAGAGGAUAGAUCAUUAUAAAUUAAAAAUAUUCCUGCCUGUACAAUAAAACUAAAUUAAAUUUGUGUUUUUGGAAUGUAAAAACACAGAUUAAAUGAAUUGAGAGUAUUCAAAGAAAAACUUACUCAUCUUAUUACCACUAAGGCUACACUCAUUGAAGUGAUGGAACAUAAAUGAUACAAAAAGAAAAAGA
rnacentral:lncRNA from 1 species